rnacentral:rRNA from 1 species
UACGUAGGGGGCAAGCGUUGUCCGGAAUCAUUGGGCGUAAAGAGCGCGUAGGCGGCCCUGUAAGUCCGCUGUGAAAGUCAAGGGCUCAACCCUUGAAUGCCGGUGGAUACUGCAGGGCUAGAGUCCGGAAGAGGCGAGUGGAAUCCUGGUGUAGCGGUGAAAUGCGCAGAUAUCAGGAGGAACACCGAUGGCGAAGGCAGCUCGCUGGGACGGUACUGACGCUGAGGAGCGAAAGCGUGGGUAGCGAACAGG